AGAAGUAAGGCAUCCAAGAUUGGAUCCGUUUCUGCUGGAUAAGGCCCUAAUAUUCUAUGAUCAAGACAAAUAUGGCUCAUCGUUCACUAAGAGCAUUUGACAGCAUGUGAAAUAUCCAAGGAGGGGUUUGGGGUUCACUUUGUCUCGUUUGGAUAUAGAUGUGUGCUUCGCCGCUCUUUCUCUACGCAUUAGAAAUCAUUAGAUAAGUAAAUCAAAGAAAGUAGGAGCGAUCAACUGCUGCUCUAGUGCAUAUUCAGUGCCUGCUGCAAAGGGUCAUAUUGUUCUCUACACUUCUGAUCAAAGGCGCUUUGUAGUUCCAUUAGUUUAUCUUAACAAUGAGGUCUUCAAAGAGCUCUUAGCAUUAUCUGCAGAAGAGUAUGGGUUGCCAAGUAACGGACCUAUCACAUUACCAUGUGAAGCACCUUUGAUGGAGCACAUCAUCAACUCAAUUCAACAAGCUAUAGCUAAAAGUCUUGAGAAACAGUUGCGCCUGUCAAUUACUGCUUCCUGCUGCACUUAUCGGUAUUUCAUUUCCAUGGAAAGCUGAAAGACAUAAGCUAACUGCAACCCUGUAAUGAAUCAAUGGAGGAAGGCUAAAACCUGCUUUGUAAAUUACAAAUGCUUUCCCCUACAUUGAGAAGUUGUGUUUCACUGUAACCAACAUUUAGCUAAUAAUCAACUUUCUUGAAGGGCUUUCAGCUCAUGUUGUAAGCUUUUAUCGGCUUAUCUUCUAUUUUUGUGGCUUAUAUCUGAGUUCUGAUUAUGAGAUGAGAAGUUUUGGAGCCAUUUUUAAAUAAAAUCAUUUAGCAGAAAGACAUGUCAUAUAUGAAGUCCUCCUCUUUGCUUCCCUUGA